rnacentral:sRNA from 1 species
UCGCAGCCCGACUUGAGCGGAAAUCCUUUUUUGCUUGUACUCUAGUUCUAUUUAAUCUCUGCAAAAAAGAUUGAGAGCGGAAGGCGGAUAAAGC